ACUCCUACGGGAGGCAGCAGUAGGGAAUCUUCCACAAUGGGCGCAAGCCUGAUGGAGCAACACCGCGUGAGUGAAGAAGGGUUUCGGCUCGUAAAGCUCUGUUGUUAAAGAAGAACACGUAUGAGAGUAACUGUUCAUACGUUGACGGUAUUUAACCAGAAAGUCACGGCUAACUACGUGCCAGCAGCCGCGGUAAUACGUAGGUGGCAAGCGUUAUCCGGAUUUAUUGGGCGUAAAGAGAGUGCAGGCGGUUUUCUAAGUCUGAUGUGAAAGCCUUCGGCUUAACCGGAGAAGUGCAUCGGAAACUGGAUAACUUGAAUGCAGAAGAGGGUAGUGGAACUCCAUGUGUAGCGGUGGAAUGCGUAGAUAUAUGGAAGAACACCAGUGGCGAAGGCGGCUACCUGGUCUGCAACUGACGCUGAGACUCGAAAGCAUGGGUAGCGAACAGGAUUAGAUACCCUGGUAGGAUAGCG
rnacentral:rRNA from 1 species